UGUUUUUAUCUCUCGAAGCAUGCAUGUUGGCAUACUGCGGAGGGGGAACAUGUUUGAAGAGAUCAGAAUUCGACCACAAGUGCGAAUGCAAGAAAGGCUACAGCAAUCUUUUGAACAUCAACGCACUCCCUUGUUACAGAGACUGUAAGAAGAUCAAACACUAUUUACUUUUCUCAAUAGAAGAGGUCGUCAUCUUACCAAUACAAACUGAUAUUAUGAAGAAACUUUUUUAAGUAACUAGGCAAAAUGUUGCAGGUUCUUUAGGUGCAGAUUGCGCGAACCUGGGAAUCACACUGCCGAACUCUUCCUCUCCACCUUCGCCGUCUAGUCUAUCCGAUAGCACCAACUCGCUUGCAGGAGGUAGUAAACCCAACUGCAACUGAAUAAAUUGUUGUAAAUUCAGCUUUAUAUGGUAGCAUGAUGAAAUACUAGUUCAUGUGUUUCCCCACAACAGGAGCUGUUUCGCCGAAUUAUCUGGUGGCGUUGCUUGUAUUUGCAUCGAUCGUCAUGGUUCGAGCGACAUAGCGGGAGGAGAUUGAAUGGAGCCCGAACUUGAGAUUCUUCUAUAGGGAUACAGUUGCUAGCUAGUUACAUGUUGCACAGAGCGAUGAGUCACACUUUCUUUGUUUCAGCUUUUCUGUUUCUUGUGCUUAAAUAACAGAACACUGUGUAGUGAGUUUGUAGGAUCUUGCUUUUCUGUUCUUUGUGUAUGUAUUUGAAUACUUACUGGAGACUUUAUUUAGUUUUAUGAAGGAUUUAGCAUGCUUAUCGAUAUUUUUAUGAUGUUAAAAGAUAAGAUAUAUUCAAUACUCUUUUAAGCUAACUCGAAGAAACUAUCAUCUACAUAAACAAAGAUCAUUCUGAAACUAAUGGCAGGGAUUUUAAUCUUUGAAAGCUGCACAGAGAGAGAGAGAGAGAGAGAGAGAGAGAGAGAGAGAGAGAGAGAGAGAUGUGGGAAAGGGUUAUCAGGGGAUGAAUAAUAACUGAGAUAAGCAAAACACCAUAGCCUUGGCCAAAAUGGAGGAAACUAGUAACAGAUCCAUUAUGGAGAUGAAAAAGUGAGAGUAAAGAGGUCCGGUGCGCAUGCGCGAUUACCAUGCUAAGAGCAAUUUACUUAAAAGCCAACCUCUGAAUAGCUUUUCUAUUUCAAAGCCCGAACAAAUUCCAUAUACCAUGGACUGUUCCUUUAGCUGCAUAGUUACAACACUGUCGAGCUCAUUACGACCACAACAAGCUCAGGUAUGUUGCUAGAUCCAAAUCUAACUAAAGCAAAUGCCCUCGAAAGGCUAGAAAGCGACUAAGCAGGCGUUGGUCACUGCACAGAAGAGAAAGUGAGUGUUGCCAUGAAAAGGUUGAUGACAUCCAGGUACAGGGAUAUUGCAGCUUCAAUGUACUCGCUGUACUGGUGUCGCUUGAUCAACCGGUCGGUAUCGUACACAAUAAAGCCGGAGAAAAUGAGAGUGGCCACACACCCGUAGAUGGUCGACCCGAUCCUACCCAAUGGGAAGCAAACCUAAAUAGAUUCACCGAAUUUUGAAUAGUGAGGAAAGGUCUUCCUAUUAAGAAGAAACAGCACAGGAAGAAGGUACAACAAAUAUACCUGCAUGAUGGCGUACACAAUCAACACCAGAAGGCAAGCAAACAAGAAAGGGUAGAGGAUGGCAAAGUCAUGACCUCUCCUGGCGGCCCAGAAUGUGUAGAGGGUGAGACCGACCACAACUGAAGCUGUGAGUACUGCAGCUUGGAGGACAACUUUGCCUGUCACAAUUAAACAAGAGGAAAAACUAUAACACAUCAAUCUGACUAUCCGAUAACAUCUGAUAACGCUCCUACGGACUGUUCGCUUAAAAAGUUUUGUAACAGGUUCCAUGCACAAGGCAAUUGAUUGGUAUGAAUUUCAUAUUUAUCAGUCCAGUAUUGCACGAGUGUUCUGAACCUUGUCCAACUUGAUGUAGUGCCAAAAUUAACUCGAUGGAUCAGAUUUCUUGAGAUUUUUUGGAUAGAUGAGAGGUCGAAAUAUGAACAAGGUUACAUAGGUUCCACAAGGUUACAAAGGUUCAAUGCCUACUUAAACAAGAAGCGUUAGAUUGGCAUUCUGAAACUCCACUAUUGUCUCUAGAAGGAAAAACAGUAUUACGUCGAAAACUCAAUAUGCAGAGAGCCAUAGUGAUGGAGUAUAACAUUAUAACAGCAAAGUAAAAACACUCAAGUUUGUAAACUGAACGUUGAAAUUAUUGCCAGCCUGGUGACUAGGAAUCUCUAGAAUAUUUAUUCCAGCACAAUCUUCUAUUUUGAUUUUACCAUAUACUCCAUAUUCCAACAACAAAAUCACCAGCGAAUAAGUUAUGAAAUGAACUUAUUAAAUAUCUGUUUCUUUAAACUGUAGAUUAAUUUUAAUUAUUAUUAAAUAUUUGUUUCUCUCUUCCGCCAUCCUUGAGGCCCUGAUGCCUCACCUAUGUAGUUUAAUUCAAUUUCUGAAUGAAUGAAGCGGGUAGCGUGCUACCUUUUUCUCAAAAAAAAAAAAAAAUCAUACAAGUUUCUUAUUGCAGGUUCUCCAGCGAAUAAGUUAUGAAAUGAACUGCAUAGUUGGUCAACUAAAUCUUUCCGACAGUUGUUUCAAGCAUCUCAACAGCAUUAAAAUACUAGACAAAUAGGCAGGAUUCGACGCAUGUUUUCAUACGUGAUAGAUAACUUCUACACAAAGUUUGUAAUUUAAAAUCAGCAACCCAUCUCCUAGUACCCAAAACGCUUUAAAGUACUCUUGUUUAAGGGUAUUGUUCAAAUAAUGCUCAAGAAACUAAAGAUGAGAAGCGAAUAAGGGCAAAUGAAGCAGAACAUUUUCUAAGAAUUUAUUAUCAUUUUCAUAAUUGAAAGUGACGAAUUUGUCCUCUCUAUCUAUGUAAUAGAACAGGAAAAGAUUAGCGUUUUUUCUUUGUUUUUUUUUUUUUUUGUUCAUACCGCUCACGGUAACACACGCCAAUCCCACGGCCAAGCUUAUGCAGAACGUGAACACCGCAAGGAGAACCAAAUUGAUCGGAUGGCGCUCUCUGUAUCGCAGCAUCGGCCACAGCGCUGCAAUCGCCAUCCAAACAAGAGUGAGUGUCGGAAACCCCAAUUCGCCCCCCGAAGAAAAAGCGAGGAAACGCCGGAAAUAUGUGCUCACCUAGGAACGGCGAGAGGAGCACGGCGACGAAGACGGUCCACGAGGCCGCGGUGUUGGAGAGGAUGAAGGCGGGCACCGGGCGCACGUAGGAGACCGCGGCGGCGACGCCGGAGGUGAAGACGAACUGGGCGGCGAGGAUCGCGUACACCUUGCGGAUGAACCCCCAACGGAGCCUCGGAUCCUCCGUCAUCUUCGGGUACAGUACGGCGUCUGCGGCGGCUCCCUUGCCGGCGGAGGCUGGGCCCCCGNUGUUGGAGAGGAUGAAGGCGGGCACCGGGCGCACGUAGGAGACCGCGGCGGCGACGCCGGAGGUGAAGACGAACUGGGCGGCGAGGAUCGCGUACACCUUGCGGAUGAACCCCCAACGGAGCCUCGGAUCCUCCGUCAUCUUCGGGUACAGUACGGCGUCUGCGGCGGCUCCCUUGCCGGCGGAGGCUGGGCCCCCGCCGCCGCCGCCGGCCCCAGCCUCGAGGUCGCCGCCUUUCUCCUUGAUCUCCGGCUCCUGGGCCUUCGACAUCGCUGCAGAGGGGGUCUCUAGGGCUUGUUGGGAGAGGCGACGAGGUGAAAAUUGUGCGGUUUCUAUAAAGGAGAAAGGGAGCCCGAAGGGGAAAGAGGGGAGAGGGGAGAGGAAAGGGAAGCGCCGGAAAUGGAAAAAGGAAAACUAGGGUUAGAGUUAGUGUUAGGGUUCGAGUUGGGGUUACUUCUUUUAGGGUUUGUAAGAGGAAGAUGAAGAGGAAGAGAGCGGAGAGAAUGGGACUACGACGGACACGUAAAGGGAAAGUGGUGGGUACGCGUAGGAUCCCGUUCUCGUGAUGGGCACGCUCUACUAUACUUCCCACGUAAUGACGGUUGAGGGAGGACAUUUUUGCGUGCACCUAGUGCAUGCAUCUUUGACUCCCCGUGCACCUUUUUAAUUAAUAUCAUCCUCUAUUCCAUCCCCUCUAUAACACAACUUUUACUACAUUACUUCAGUGUUUUUUUUUUUUUUUCGAUUUGCAAACAUAAAUCUCAACAAAGGAGUCAUAUUUUUAUGUCCUUCUUUAUAAUUUUCUUUUGUUACCCAUGUUUCUUUAUAAUUUUUUUAUAUCACUCGUGUAUUUAUUUUAAAUUACUAUUUCAAAUAUUAAUAAUUUUUUUUUUUACCGAUUCUUUCUUAAACUAGUUUAUAAUUAUGUUUGAAUUGAAUUUUGAUCAAAAUUUUAGCAACAAACUAAAGUUAAUUUAAACUUAUAAUAUAUUUUACUGUGUUUAGAUCAAAAUAAAAUAAAUAUAAGCUUGACAGAAGUAGUAAAAUAAUUAAAUUAGAAAAAAUAUUAUUACUAUUUGAAACCAUCGACAUUAAUAACUUAAUAUAAAUUACUUAAGCGCAGUUAUUAAUUUUAGUGUGGUUGUUACAUAGAACUAGAAGCCCACAGGACUCUCCAGCAUUAUUUAUCUAAUAUAAAAUUAUUGAGAUGUGGCAACUAUCAUAUAUAGAAAAUAAAGAUUAAAAUAUAGGGAUGAAAUAAAUAUUCGUUCCAGUGUGGUGUUGUGUGCAGUUAUGCACCGGGUGUACGCAAUUGCCCUCGCGGGUUGGAUAGCUUUGUCCAAUGUCCACCAUCGCUUCAGAUAGCGUUGACCGGUGGGGGACCGACCGAGGACUUGGAAUCAUUAUGUGACAAAAAUUUUGCAUAUUAGUCCCUUCAAUAUUCUACGUAUUGCGUGUACGUACAUGAUGGGAUUUGGACUUUUGACUGAGUUGACUCCCGGUUUUAAUUAAUUAAUCAAUAGAUUAUAUGCGAUUAACUUUUCUAAUUUAAAACUAGAUUUUGUGAGUGCCCGUGUAUGACCAAAUUCUAGAACAACUUAAAAGUUUAAUUUGAUAAACAAAAUAUCUAAACAUUCUUGUUCAAUUAGUAAGCGAAGCGUGAAUGUGUCAUUUUUGUUUUGUAUUUGAACCUCUUGACCUAACAAGCUGUUUGAUUUUUUAAUUUUAGCCAUAAUAUUUGUAAAAAGUAAUAUAAUAUAUAUUCUGUAGAAAAGCAAAUGAUGUAAGCUUUAAGAUGUUAUAGAUUAAAUUUUGUAAACCUCACGAAGAUCUUUUCAACUGUCGUGUAGCUGUAAACUUCAUAUUCCUCCAUUUUUGCCAAAUAAAAACCACAUAAAUAAAGUUGGGAAGCAAGUUUCUUUUUUUCACAAUGAUAUUAUAGUGUUCCUCAAAAGCACAAUAUUAUUAUAGCGAGUGGCUAAAAAUAAAGAAAACCGCCUUAAGAAAUGUGUGCUUCUUUUGUUGAAUAAAUCUCCCGCUUAAAAAAGGAGAACACACGUAGGGAAAAUUUAACUUCCCAAUAUGUUAAUUUUUUUUACUUUUUUUCUUUUAGAGAAAGAUAUCAUACUACCACUUUAUUCAUUUGGGUUAUGAACUAGACUAGUUUGAAUCAACUAGGCCUCUAAAAAAAAAAAAUCGAACAUUGCUACUUGAUACAAUACUAAUUCCACAUAUAUUUUAAAUUACGCGACUCUGUCAACAAUUGCCUCCAAAUAUGUUUUCUUUUUUCAAAAAAAUUUUUGUUACGCUCCAACCAAAUAACCAACCAUGACGAGGGAAUGGUCAUUAACUCCAUUUUCCCUAAGGUUCCUUCUUUGAGUUCUUUAAUUCUUUUUACUCAUUAUACAAAAGUUAAGAAAUUAAUUGCCCACCCACACUUUCCAAGUAUGUAAAAUGGUUACUACAAAAUAAGUAUUACUUAACCUGCUUCACACGUCAAACUUAGUUUUCACAAGAAAAGAAAACGCGGUAUGGUUGAAUCAACUUGAUGAUAUUAAUUGUGGGGUCCAUUAAAAUUUGGUUAACAAAUUGGGCAACUUGUACCGGAGAAAUCACAAGGAAAGUGCUCGAUCAGAGAGGUUCUUUUCUUUCUUUUCUCAGUCCUUUAAUUUGUUUUCUUAUUAAUUAUAGGUUGCUUGCUUUGAUAUCUAGCAUAGUAGCAUGUGAGCUGUUUGAGCUUAUAUAGAGUACACAAACAGCUACAUGUUCGAUCAUUGUUCAUAUGAACAUUAGCUUCAUGUAAAAUUUCUCUCAAAAAAAAAAACAUUAGCUUCAUGUACCGACCCUCCCUAAAGCAAAUGACAAAGGAUUUGAUACGUAGUUGAUAUCCGAGAUCCCAAAUUAGAAUCCCGAUUGAUUCACAUUUUCAACUAAAUUUAUUUCUAAAUGAAAUAAACGAAACAGGUAGCGUGCUAUCUAUUUCUCAAAAAAAAAAAAAAAAAAAAAAAAAAAAAAAAAAAAAAACAUUAGCUUCAUGUUUACGGAAACAUGGUUUUUGUCCAUUAGAGCAGCGAGAAUGAUCAGGGUGCAAGGAAAUUAAAUAAAACAUUCAUUACCUGGGAAGAGGAAAUAGUAGUAGAAACCCUGGUAAUUUUACAAAGGAUGCGUCUCGGAUCAUACAUUUCUUUCAAAAAUAAGGUGCAUCUAAUUAAGGCCACAGUUUUUACAAGAAACAGGGAAUAGUGUGCGCAUUAUUAAGUCGACAUGCUGUAAUAUGAUUCAAAGAACAACUUCCAUUUUAACCCCCCCUCUCUAGCUUCAUAUGUAGACGCACAUGAUCGAGCACGCAUCCCAAUUAACAAGUCUUAGUCAAAGAGCAACCAAAAUAACAGUAACAUAUAUAGGAUCAAUUGCCUAAUUAAGAUCAAGAUCAUGCUAUCCCUUACUACCUUUAAGCAUUAAUUACGAUUGUUGCUGAACUUAUCAUAGUAAUUAUUCAAUCGCAUUUAUAUAUAUACCUGGAUGAGUAGAUAAACCAUCAGAAUCAUGACACCAGCAAACAAGAAAGGACCGAGAAAGCGGAAGUCGUAGCCUCUCCUCGCCCCCCAAGAAUGUGUAGAGCGUCAGACUCACCACCACCACAGCCGUCAGCAUUACUGACUCGAAAUUAACCUUACCUGAUGUGCAGAAAGUUGACCGGAAGAAAAAAUUAUUUUAAAAAAAAAAUUAAAAAGAAGAAUGAUGAUAUUUUUAAUUUUUUGCGAAAAAUGUUACCGCUGGUAAAGGCGCAGGUCAAUCCAACUGCUAAGCUGAUGGAGAGAGUAAAAGUGCCGAGGAGGAUGAGAUUCACCGGAUGAUGCUGGUAGUAGUAGUACGUAGUAGUAGUAGAGAUCGAGGGAGCAACACUGCGCCGAACCGAAAUGAAAUUAAACAAAAAGUUAACUAAUUAGGAACUAGAAUCAAUUAUCAUCAAACACCAGAAAUUAACAAUUAGCUUGAUCGUCCUAAUUUUAAAAUCUGGCCCUCAAACUGUCAAGGUAUGUGCAAAUUGCAAUUUUCAAACUAACUUUCGAAUCCUGGCGAUCACAUUCGCACUAGCAUGUUAGUAGUUUAGUACAUGAAUAGGUCCAAAAGAAUUACCAAUUUUUUUAAUAAUAGUAGAAAACGUGACAACGUAAUAAUAUAAAAAACUAAGCAACCAGUGAACAAGGUCCUAAAUUGGCCGGGCCAGGCUUGGAUCCAGUGAUGUGGGCCCUUCACAAUUCAUCAAACAGAGCGGGAGCUAAGGCCCUGUUUAGCCCAUCUCGACUAUAAAAAUUGGGCCGGCCCAAUGAACAAAAGUUAGGACGAAUUCAUCUCUCUAUUGUUUUUUUUUUAUAUAAAUACAUUAACAUUAGACGAGUUGAAAAGGCUCACCAAAUCAGACGAGACCAUUGGAUUAUGGGCCUUGCAACAGGUAUAAAAAGCGAGCCUCGUAAUCCAACAAUCCGGGCUAAUUCAACUAGCCUAUUUAGCUCACCGUAUCGAACACGGGAGGGCAAAAUUAACAUCCUAUCUUGUUGCCUAUAUAAUAAAUCUCUACCACUCCACAAGGAAAGGCCACAGAGUAGACACAACCCCUCCGACGCUUUUUAAGAUAACACUCCCAAAUGCAUAAACCCCAUAAACCCCUUUUAAGUAACCAGAGAACACGGAGAGAAAAUUAGAUUAAAAAAAAACAGAGCAUGGAAUCCACGAGCAGCAGUAUCUUUAAAUUCGGCAGGCACGGCGUUAAGCUCUUCCGUGUGGAAUCUAAUGCCGCGGCGAGCUCUGCCGACUCCUACACACCACCUCCGAAGCCUCUGUUGAUUGCUUCGCCAUGCGACGAAGGGGAUUACGCUGUCGUGUUGUUCCUCCACGGAUACCUUCUUUAUAAUUCCUUCUAUUCUCAGCUGUUCCAGCAUGUAGCUUCUCACGGCUUUGUUGUUAUCGGCCCCCAGGUUAGUUUUCUUUAAAUCGUUGCGUAAAUAAAUUGAGCUCUAAUUUCAAGGUCGCCGAUGAUCGACCGACUUAAUUUUUUAUUAAUUAUACUUAACGUUUCAAUGGUGUACUUGAGAUGCUUCAGAAUAUAUACAUCCGAAAUAUUCUGGGGAUAACCCAUACUGGUUUAUUUGAAUAUAUGAUUAUCUUGUUCGGCAAAUCAAUUUUGUUUGCGCACACAAAAGUAUGUUAUAGCAUCGAGUACGGAAAGAUGCCUAUGUACAAUUUCUAAACCGUAAUUUUUUAAAAAGAGUUAACUUCGUACUCAAGUAAAUUCCUACAAAGUUUAAUGGUCUAAUUUAUCACUCUGAAUUUUACGAUUUACAAAUAUAUCACUCCGAAAGAAGAUCUGAUAAGCUCAAAUUUGUUCCUACCGUUAAUUUUUGUAAUGGUGUAUGCGUGGAGGAAUUCUACACUGUCACACUUGCACCACGUCAUCAAUAACAAGCCAAUCACAUUUCUUCUUUUUAAACAAAAGUAAAAUAAAAAUAUUUUUUUACAAUCAUGAUGGGACAUAUAUUCUUAAAAGGAUUAAUUUGAUUGGUUUGUUACGCCACGUCACUAAUAUAUCCGUUGCAUUCUAGAAUUUUUCGUAUGUGUGAUGUAAUCCAUCGUCCUUAUAGAUUUGU
rnacentral:lncRNA from 1 species